CUCGAGUGGCGAACGGGUGAGUAACACGUGGGUGAUCUGCCCCGCACUUCGGGAUAAGCCUGGGAAACUGGGUCUAAUACCGGAUAGGACCACGAACAUAAUGGUUUGUGGUGGAAAGUUUUUCGGUGUGGGAUGAGCUCGCGGCCUAUCAGCUUGUUGGUGGGGUAAUGGCCUACCAAGGCGUCGACGGGUAGCCGGCCUGAGAGGGUGGACGGCCACAUUGGGACUGAGACACGGCCCAG
rnacentral:rRNA from 1 species